rnacentral:rRNA from 1 species
GCCAUGCCGCGUGUGUGAAGAAGGCCUUUUGGUUGUAAAGCACUUUAAGCAGUGAAGAAGACCUAACGGUUAAUACCCGUUAGCGAUGACAUUAGCUGCAGAAUAAGCACCGGCUAACUCUGUGCCAGCAGCCGCGGUAAUACAGAGGGUGCAAGCGUUAAUCGGAAUUACUGGGCGUAAAGCGAGCGUAGGUGGCUUGAUAAGUCAGAUGUGAAAUCCCCCGGGCUUAACCUGGGAACUGCAUCUGAUACUGUUGGGCUAGAGUAGGUGAGAGGGAGGUAGAAUUUCAGGUGUAGCGGUGAAAUGCGUAGAGAUCUGAAGGAAUACCGAUGGCGAAGGCAGCCUCCUGGCAUCAUACUGACACUGAGGUUCGAAAGCGUGGGUAGCAAACAGGAUUAGAUACCCUGGUAGUCCACGCCGUAAACGAUGUCUACUAGUCGUUGGGGAACUUGAUUCCUUAGUGACGCAGCUAACGCAAUAAGUAGACCGCCUGGGGAGUACGGCCGCAAGGUUAAAACUCAAAUGAAUUGACGGGGGCCCGCACAAGCGGUGGAGCAUGUGGUUUAAUUCGAUGCAACGCGAAGAACCUUACCUGGUCUUGACAUAUCUAGAAUCCUGCAGAGAUGCGGGAGUGCCUUCGGGAAUUAGAAUACAGGUGCUGCAUGGCUGUCGUCAGCUCGUGUCGUGAGAUGUUGGGUUAAGUCCCGCAACGAGCGCAACCCUUUUCCUUAGUUACCAGCGGUUUGGCCGGGGACUCUAAGGAUACUGCCAGUGACAAACUGGAGGAAGGCGGGGACGACGUCAAGUCAUCAUGGCCCUUACGACCAGGGCUACACACGUGCUACAAUGGUAGGUACAGAGGGCAGCUACGCAGCGAUGUGAUGCGAAUCUCAAAAAGCCUAUCGUAGUCCAGAUUGGAGUCUGCAACUCGACUCCAUGAAGUAGGAAUCGCUAGUAAUCGCGGAUCAGAAUGCCGCGGUGAAUACGUUCCCGGGCCUUGUACACACCGCCCGUCACACCAUGGGAGUUGAUUGCACCAGAAGUGGGUAGCCUAACUUUUAGAGGGCGCUCACCACGGUGUGGUUGAUGACUGG